rnacentral:lncRNA from 1 species
UUUGCAUGUCUUUUCCAGCUGACUCCGCCACCAUCUCCUGCCUGGAUGACUGCAGCAGCAUCCUUGCUGGCCUCUCUGCUUCCUGCAUUGCCUCCUCUGAAUCUUCAGGUGACCUCCGAAGUCACCUCCUCCCAGGUGCCUUCCUGUCCUAGCCACCCAAGCCAAGUCCAUCUCUGUGCCAGCACUCUUUAUGAUGUAUUCACGUAUCUGCUUGUUGGCUCUACUGGAUCUAAGCUCCGGAGGGCAGGGGUCACAUCUGUUUGCCAAUACGUUCCUUCAAGGCACGGUGCCUUGGACAUAUGCAGGCAUGCGGCAGAUAGUCACUGAGUGAACCAUGCAGGAGCCAGCACAAUUAACGCGAGUGCCAGUAACCAGCCUGGGCGUAAAUCUGUAACUCGAUGGUGCACCACGAGUUAACUUCUCAUUCAUGUCACAGUCCACUGCAGAUCAGGCAGCCCCUCCUUUCUCCACGUGUGGGCUACAUGCUCCCAGAGAAAGGGGAAGGGGAAGCAGGGGAGGGGAGGAUGGCAG